AAAAAAAUGAUGAAUUGUAUCACUUAAUUUGUGUCACAAAAUUAAAUGAUACUAUUUUGAAUCAUUUAUUUAUAAAUGAAACAGAAAUAAAUAAUUUAGCAUUACUUAUAAUAAAUUGAUGUUAAUAUUAACUAAUUUAGCAUCAGUUCAAUAAAUCGAUAUAAUUUGUUCUAAUUUGUAUCACUUUAACGAAACUGAUAUUACUAUAUAAAGUUAUAUCAAUUAAACAAAUGAUGUAUUUAUUUGUUUGACUAAUAUCAUUUAUUUAAAUAAUACAAAAUUUUCAUUAAUAGAAAAUGAUGCAAAUCAAAAAUGUUAAUACCACUAAAAUAAUUAGAUGGAUUAAUCUUAAUUAUAAAACGAAGGUAACUGUUUUUUUUUUCUGCACUUUUACUGCUUUUCUUUACUUGUCGAAAUGUCUCUAACGUUAAGUCUUUUGAAUACUAGAGCUACCUUUUUCUUAUUAUCUGUUUUGUGCUCAAUAUGCUGUUUUGUGUUUCUAGUUUUAUCCUAUUUUUUUUUCAAAGAACCGAUGUCCGCUGAUUAAUCUAUCCCGGAUCAUAAUUUGAACAUGUAAACUGAUGAGCGUGAAGGAACUUGAAACGCACUUGAACCACUGAUCAUUUUGUAUUGCACUUUGAUUUAUUUCCAGUUACAUAAUAUAUAGAUAUAAUCACGAUUAACAACUUACUAGUUAAAAUAGUUUCAGGAAAUAAAAAAAACUACUUCCUAGUUCGUUAUCUAAAAAAUAUAAAUUUAAACCAUAAUAUUUUCCCCCACUAACUAUCAACUAGCAGUUAAGAUUGUGAUCACGAAAUGAUUUUUUUCCUGCUGAAAAUCCAAAAUAUCUCCAAGAAAUUAUAUAUUUUGCACUAUCCCACUAACCUCAUUUCUUCCUUGCAACAAUUUAAUAUCUUCUUUUAAUUUGCUCUUUCUUCUUUCUUUCGAUUAGUUCUGGUACUCUCUUCUUCUCUCUUGGGAUUUCAAUAGGAUUAAUGAUGACAAUCUUCGCUACAGUCACCUUCCACCGUAACAACCGCCACCAUAAUCCUUCAUCCCCGUCCCCUUCCACUGCCGUCGUAGCCGUUUCUUUUAAUUUGCGAAUCUGUUUUUUGAAAUGGAUGCUAAACCCUUGAGAGUUAAUGCUGGUCCUCCUCCAACAAGGAAGAAAGAUCUUUGGAGAGUAGAAGCAUUCCCACAUCCCCUCCUAGAAUGUUUUUUAUCUACUAACUAAUGAAGCUAAUGUAAAACGUUAUGUUCAUAUAGUUCUCUCUGCUUAAAUUCUUUGUUUGGUUCUCUUUUUGAUGUUCAGAGAAGGAUACAAUUUAAGUUUAAAUAAUAAAUAAGUAAUUUUUUAAUAUA